UACGAAGGGGGCUAGCGUUGUUCGGAAUUACUGGGCGUAAAGCGCGCGCAGGCGGUCCUUCAAGUCAGAGGUGAAAGCCCAGGGCUCAACCCUGGAACUGCCUUUGAAACUGGAGGACUUGAGUACGGGAGAGGUGAGUGGAAUUCCGAGUGUAGAGGUGAAAUUCGUAGAUAUUCGGAAGAACACCAGUGGCGAAGGCGGCUCACUGGCCCGGUACUGACGCUGAGGUGCGAAAGCGUGGGGAGCAAACAGG
rnacentral:rRNA from 1 species